GUGUCAGCAGCCGCGGUAAUACAGAGGUCCCGAGCGUUGUUCGGAUUCAUUGGGCGUAAAGGGUGCGUAGGCGGCGGGGUAAGUUUGAUGUGAAAUCCCGGGGCUCAACCCUGGAAUUGCAUUGAAUACUACCUUGCUAGAGUACCGGAGAGGAAACUGGAAUUUACGGUGUAGCAGUGAAAUGCGUAGAGAUCGUAAGGAAGACCAGUGGCGAAGGCGAGUUUCUGGACGGUAACUGACGCUGAGGCACGAAGGCCAGGGGAGCAAACGGGAUUAGAUACCCUUGUAGUCC
rnacentral:rRNA from 1 species